rnacentral:tRNA from 1 species
GGGAAUGUGGCUCAGGGGUAGAGUGCUUGCCUAGUAUGCAUGAAGCUCUGGGUUCAAUUCCGCAGUACCA